rnacentral:rRNA from 1 species
AGUGAACGCUGGCGGUAGGCCUAACACAUGCAAGUCGAACGGCAGCACAGUAAGAGCUUGCUCUUACGGGUGGCGAGUGGCGGACGGGUGAGGAAUACAUCGGAAUCUACUUUUUCGUGGGGGAUAACGUAGGGAAACUUACGCUAAUACCGCAUACGACCUACGGGUGAAAGCAGGGGAUCUUCGGACCUUGCGCGAUUGAAUGAGCCGAUGUCGGAUUAGCUAGUUGGCGGGGUAAAGGCCCACCAAGGCGACGAUCAGUAGCUGGUCUGAGAGGAUGAACAGCCACACUGGAACUGAGACACGGUCCAGACUCCUACGGGAGGCAGCAGUGGGGAAUAUUGGACAAUGGGCGCAAGCCUGAUCCAGCCAUACCGCGUGGGUGAAGAAGGCCUUCGGGUUGUAAAGCCCUUUUGUUGGGAAAGAAAAGCAGCAGGUUAAUACCCCGCUGUUCUGACGGUACCCAAAGAAUAAGCACCGGCUAACUUCGUG